rnacentral:tRNA from 1 species
GGGCCCGUAGCUUAGCUUGGUAGAGCGAUCGGCUCUUAACCGAUAGGUCAAGGGUUCGAAUCCCUUCGGGCCCG